GACGCGGUAUCCCCUCCUCCUCUCGUAGAACACGAUGCGAAGAAGGAAUGUGAAAGGCUCCCGCCCGUCGCCAUUUUCUUUCUUUCUUGGCAAGCAGGGAGCGCGGUAGGAAGUGGUGAAGCGGACAUGGCGGAUUAUUCUACGGUACCCCCUCCUUCUUCGGGCGCGCCCGGGGGAGGCGGAGGAGGUGGCGGGGGAGUCAAUGACGCUUUUAAGGACGCGCUACAACGGGCUAGGCAGAUUGCAGCAAAAAUUGGAGGUGAAUCAGGGACAUCGGUGAAUUCAAAUGAUUACGGUUAUGGGGGACAGAAAAGGCCUCUUGAAGAUGGAGAUGGCUCUUGGACAAGUCCGAGCAGUACAACACACUGGGAGGGAAUGCCCUCUCCUUUUAAAGAUCAACCUGAGCCUAAGAAAGUAGCUCCUCCAAAUAAUGACUCUUUUGGAAAUCAGUUACCACCCAUGCAUCAGCAACAAAGGUCUGUAAUGACAGAAGAAUAUAAAGUUCCUGACGGCAUGGUUGGAUUCAUAAUUGGCAGAGGAGGAGAACAGAUCUCCCGUAUACAACAAGAAUCUGGAUGCAAAAUACAGAUUGCACCUGAUAGUGGUGGUCUUCCUGAAAGAUCUUGCAUGUUAACUGGGACUCCAGAAUCAGUGCAGUCUGCAAAGCGGUUACUUGAUCAGAUAGUUGAAAAAGGAAGACCCACACCAGGAUUCCAUCAUGGUGAUGGUCCAGGAAAUGCUGUCCAGGAAAUUAUGAUUCCAGCUAGUAAAGCAGGAUUAGUUAUUGGGAAAGGUGGAGAGACAAUAAAACAGCUUCAGGAACGAGCAGGAGUUAAGAUGGUUAUGAUUCAGGAUGGUCCACAGAACACUGGAGCAGACAAACCUCUUAGGAUCACAGGAGAUCCUUACAAAGUUCAACAAGCGAAGGAAAUGGUUUUAGACCUAAUUCGUGAUCAAGGUGGUUUUAGAGAAGUACGCAAUGAAUACGGAUCAAGAAUAGGAGGAAAUGAAGGAUUAGAUGUCCCAAUACCACGAUUUGCUGUUGGCAUUGUAAUUGGAAGAAAUGGAGAAAUGAUUAAAAAGAUACAGAAUGAUGCUGGUGUGCGAAUUCAGUUUAAACCAGACGAUGGAACAACUCCAGACAGAAUAGCACAAAUCACUGGACCUCCAGACAGAUGUCAACAUGCAGCAGAAAUUAUUACAGAUCUUCUUCGAAGUGUUCAGGCUGGCAAUCCUGGUGGUCCAGGGCCUGGUGGUCGUGGAAGAGGUAGAGGACAAGGAAACUGGAAUAUGGGGCCUCCUGGUGGACUUCAAGAAUUUAAUUUUAUUGUACCCACUGGAAAAACUGGAUUAAUCAUUGGGAAAGGUGGUGAAACUAUCAAGAGUAUCAGCCAACAAUCUGGUGCUAGAAUAGAACUUCAGAGAAACCCUCCACCAAAUGCAGAUCCCAACAUGAAAUUGUUCACUAUCCGAGGGACACCACAGCAGAUUGAUUAUGCUCGGCAGCUUAUAGAAGAAAAGAUUGGCGGUCCAGUGAAUCCUUUGGGUCCUCCCGUGCCACAUGGUCCUCAUGGUGUUGUUCCUGGCCCACAUGGGCCUCCUGGGCCUCCUCCUGGUGCCCCUAUGGGACCUUACAAUCCUGCUCCUUAUACACCUGGUCCUCCUGGUCCAGCGCCUCAUGGACCUCCAGCACCAUAUGCUCCACAAGGCUGGGGUAAUGCUUAUCCACACUGGCAGCCACCAAAUCCUCCAGAUCCAGGUAAGCCAGCAGAUCCUAAUUCAGCUGCAUGGGCAGCCUAUUAUGCUCACUACUAUCAGCAGCAAGCGCAGCCACCACCUGCAGCUCCACCUAGUGCACCACCAGCCACCCAGACCAAUGGACAAGGAGAUCAACCAAAUCCAGCACCAGCAGGGCAAGUAGAUUACACCAAGGCAUGGGAAGAGUACUAUAAAAAAAUGGGUCAACAAGGGCAGCCACAAGAUUAUUCAAAGGCUUGGGAGGAAUAUUACAAGAAGCAAGGUCAGGCAGUUCCAGCUCCAGCAGGGGCACCACCAGCGGGUCAGCCUGAUUAUAGUGCAGCAUGGGCUGAAUACUAUAGACAGCAGGCAGCCUAUUCCUCCAGCACCACAGGGCCAAUAAUAAGAAGUGGACAAUACAGUAUUUGCUUCAUUAUGUGGGGGAAAAAACCUUUGUUAAAUGUGUGGAUGCAGACGCCUUGAUGAAGAUCAUAAUUUUGUUUGGUUUAAAAAUAGUGUUUUGAAAAUGUACAAAAUAUCUAUCACUACUGAUAGGAGGUAAUAUUUCUGUGUAGAAAUGAACUUGGUUUGUUUUUAGUACAUUAGUGUAGAUGUACACAUUCCAGCAAAUGUAUUUGCAAUUAUUAUGUGGUCAUUGCUUUGUGAUAUAAAUGUACUUUUUCCAAUGUAUACUUGAUCACUUUUAAAUGCCUGUUUUGUGCUUUACAAUAAAUAAUAUGAAACCUCCUGUGUCGGUAAGUUGGAUAUGUGGGUCCCCAGAAUUCAGCAAUAUGUUAGCAAUGCUGUACAUGUACACAAGUAAGAUUUUUUUCCUUGAAAGUUUGAGUUUGACAUUGGUAUUCUCCAUUUGCAGAAUAGUUUAGAAGGAUCUCUUUUGUUGCUGUAUUUUGCUGCUUAGCAUCUUGAUAUCCUCUUCUUUUUACUUGAUUAAAAUUUGCAUGUAUGUGAAGGUGUUUCUUGACAUACUUCUAUUGCAUUAACAGUUGAAAUUUCUUUUUAUUCAUGACCACUGUCUCAGACCCAUAUAGCUGCUAUAGUUAACCUUUGUUUUUAUACAUGAUUUGAUUCUUCAGUAUAUUUUUUCAGGCACGUUAUUAAAAUCAAUUGCUGUAGAAAUCAGAUGUGCAAAGCAGUCAGUUGACUGCAUUUUGGUUGAGAAUUUAGUGUAGUAAGGUUUAUAUGCUUUUAGUUACCAAAACUGCAUUUGUUAUAGAAACAUUCUUUUUGGAGUCCUGGGAGUGCUUAACAGAUAAGGUCUAUUUUUAAAUGCUGAAGACUAGUCAUUCAAUUAUAUUAUGAAAAGUCUCCAUAAAGCGUUCUAUUCUUUAUAUUCAUACUAAAAAUUGGUGUUCUGUUAAAAUCCACUGUUUACUUUUUUGCAUCUAUUAGAUUACAUGCAAUACAGUCUGUCUUGCCAUUGUCUGUUGAAGUGCAGGUUUGAUCCAGCCAGUAUAGAACUAGCUCUGUAGGGGUGAGGAGGACUGUGCUGUGUAUCAUCUUUGAUUGUUCCUUCAAGGAGCAUUGCACUGUAAGUACAACAGAAUGACAAAAUGAUGAACUGCAACAGUAUCUUUUUGUCAAUGUUCCACAUAAUGCAAAUGCCAUACCUGUGUGAAUAUUAUGUUGGAAUAAAAUACAGUGCUGAUAUCUUAGAAAAUCAUAACUGCUUCUUAAUUCAGAAACGUAGGUGUGCAUAUAUAUCUAUAUGUGUAUAUGAGCUUUAUGGGUAAGUAUUGCUGAGACAUUUAGUUUUAGCUAAAUUGUCAUGUACCUAAGUAACAUUUUUUCAUUAGGGGUUCAGAAACAAGAUAUAUUCAGAUAUAAACUUGUGCAUUGUUAACAAAGUUUAAAUUGCUUGUAAGGAGGACGUUGUUUUGUCUUCAGUUUGUCUGCUUAUAUUUGGUGAUAUAGGUAUUUGUUAAUAACCUGUAUUAGCCUUACCUCUGGAAAAGAUUUUGUUGGGGUUCUUUUUGAGAAUACACUUAGCGUGGUUGCUAGGGAAGAAUAAAAUGAAGCUCAGAAAUGAAGUCGUUUACUGCACAGGUAGCUAGAAAUGCAUUUUGUUGUACUGUAGAAUCAGGAGGGAAUUUAUUUUUAGCCCAAUUUGCAUUAGGAUUUAAAGCAGACAUUUUGAAAAGAUUACUAGGAAAUUAUUAAAUAUAUUUAGAGUAGGCUAUAAAGGCUCUAGAGCAACUACUUUGCAUGAUUCUUCUGUAGCUUAUUGGAGAAUGGUGUAGCUACUAACUAAACAGAACAAAAAAUUCACCAGAUUCUUUAUCAUUCACCGAAUGGAGGCUGUUGAUUUGAUUCAUUUAAAGUAUAAAAUCUUUAUUAAUUGCAAACAGUGCAAUUAUUUAUACUUCACAGUGCCUUCCCAGACCUUCCACCUUAGGUUCUGCUGCAAAAAGCACAGUGCUGAAGAUGCUGCAAGCACCAAAUCAUAGCUCAUAAAAUCAGGUCCUGAGAUAGUUACUUCCAAUAAAGAGGAUUCCUUUGAGUGUAUGGCCAUGGUGAGCCGAUGAGCAUGGACCGUAGAAGGGCUCCAUGUAGAAGGUAAAAUUGGCAAAAUACCGAUUUUAAAUGUAUCCCAUACUUAAUGGUGUAGGGUAUAAUUUGCCUGUUUUAAUCGCUUCUCAUUCUUUUAAGUGCUAUUUGCUUGACAUAAAUGUUCCGUAAUUUGUUAUGUGGUAAUAAUACAAGCCAUCUAUCAAUUUACACAUUGCUAAAUAGUCAAGCAUAGAUAUGUUUUGCAUUUCACAACUAAAUUUAAUAGUUGUACUUGAAUACCCUCAAGCCACUUCAUUUUUUGUUGUAGUUCAACAUGUCAGAUUUCAUUUUUAUUGGGAACUAGGUUUGUGUUGUGCUGUUGAGCUGCUAAAGAACUUCAUCUGUGCUGGAUUUCAUUACCCCAUUUUAAAACCAAGUUUUAUUUUUGCCACUCCAUUUUUAUAAACAUAGCUUAAAUUGUAGUACAAUUCAAGGAAAGGGAAGAAAUAGAAAAGAUUAAUAUUUCUGACAUAGGAGGUGAUUUAACAGUCUAAGCAUUAUUUUCUCAUUGUGCUAGUGGAACUUAGGCAUCUUCUGACGUUGUGUAGCUUUGCUGUUCAGUUUCAGUCUUUGAUUUCUUUCAGGAACAUUAUUAGUUUUCUUGAGCAGUUCUUGUGAUUUGGCAGAAGAAAUAAAUGCAGUUUUUAAAUAUAGAAUGUUAGAGUACCCUGACUAGAAGCAGAUGUGAGUAAUGCAUGCGUCUAAAGGAAAUAAAAGAACAUCUUUACAUUUCAACUGAGUGAUGCUCACAGAUCACUGUUGAGUGUGCAUUCUGUAUAGUCAAGCUUUGCUGAUUUAAAAAUAAUUCCUUAGCUAUAUCUUUUGUAUAAAUUACAUGUUGUAGGGGCAAGGUAGGCUGUAUCAUUCACUAAUCAUCCUCUUUCCACAAAAUAUUUUGAGCAACUGGGGAGCCUUUCUUUUUAUAAGAUUAAGAGUAUAGAGCAUCUAGGUCUCUUGCAUACUAGCAUUUCAUAAAGCAAGACACUGGGCCUGCAUAAUGCAUACAACAAAUCCACUUUUCCUACUCGUAGUAUCCUUAAGUUUAUGCAACCUUUAUCUUAUAUGCAUGCAAGAUGCAUUUUCGUCCUGAGAGAGUGUUCUCUACAGAAACUACCCGUGUUUUUAAAAAAGAAGAUUGUCUUUAAAAGGCUACUGUGAUGGGAAGUAUCUUAGGGAGAUGCAGCUUGGACUUGAGGUAAAUCAAAUGCUUUAUGCUGUGUUGUGUUGAACUUGCAAUAAGACAUUGUAUGUAUUCAUGAAAAUACGUUUAAUUGUAAUGUUUUUGUAUGCAUUCUCAAUAAAUGUAAACUAAUGGGUAAUUUGUCUUGUCUCUCUCUUCUGUUCUUCAGUCACUUUUCAUCUGAAAAAGAUUCCAAAUGCCUUUGACGCAUAAUCGUGUAUUUCUAGGUUGGGGGAUAACUAACCCUUGUGGACAAAAAGCUGGAGGGUUACGGAGAGGCAUAAUUGCCAUAGGCUAUCACACAUUCUUGUACUAGUAGAAUUUCAGCAGAUGAAAGAGGGAGGCCAGUUUUAUCCAAUUUUGUAUCUUCUCUGCCAUGUGGUGAUUUGUCUGUAAGCCUCCCAAGGCAAUGCCUUUAUGGGAGGAUGUGCCUGUGUGAGAUGGAAAGUAGGAGAAGAUCUACUUCAUAAGAUACAAUUCCAUUGUAUGUCCAAGAAUUUUAGGUAGGAAUGAAUGACCAUUACCUUUCUGAAAUGAUGAAAAGUCACAUGAGACUCAGCAUAGGUUUAUUAACCUUCCAAUUAAUUCAGAACACAGCAUAGGGAAUUUGGUACAUAAGAUUUAAAAAGCCAGUUACAGUCUGUAUAAAAUUUUAUUCUAACUUUUACUUUUUCUAAAACUUGCCCAAUUAAAUGUAGCCAAAAUCUAGCGGAGAAUUCUGUUAUUUGCUCCAUAUCACUAAAUUCUUUCCAGUGUAUAUGGUAGUUUGCAUUGGAAUUUAGUUUGCAGCUUUCCAUUAGCAAAUCUGUAAUGACUACUUAUUUUAAGUACGUAUGAAAACCUUAUUUACUGGUAAUGCUAUUUGUAUAUACUGUAGUGAGAUGAUUCAGUACAAGAGGUUCAAGUUGAAAAGUCAUCCAGUAUCAUAAUAAUGUUUAACUACUGAAUACUACAACUUUGGUUCAGUAUUAUAAGCAAGAUUCUGGACAAUA